rnacentral:rRNA from 1 species
UACGAAGGGGGCUAGCGUUGUUCGGAAUCACUGGGCGUAAAGCGCGCGUAGGCGGUGAUCCAUGUCAGCGGUGAAAUCCCGGGGCUUAACUCCGGAAUUGCCUUUGAAACGGGAUCGCUAGAGUCCGAGAGAGGAUGGCGGAAUUCCUAGUGUAGAGGUGAAAUUCGUAGAUAUUAGGAAGAACACCGGUGGCGAAGGCGGCCAUCUGGCUCUGUACUGACGCUCAGGCGCGAAAGCGUGGGGAGCAAACAGG